GCCAGACUCCUACGGGAGGCAGCAGUGGGGGAUAUUGCACAAUGGGGGAAACCCUGAUGCAGCGACGCCGCGUGAGUGAAGAAGUAUUUCGGUAUGUAAAGCUCUAUCAGCAGGGAAGAAAAAAGACGGUACCUGACUAAGAAGCCCCGGCUAACUACGUGCCAGCAGCCGCGGUAAUACGUAGGGGGCAAGCGUUAUCCGGAUUUACUGGGUGUAAGGGGAGCGUAGACGGCAAUACAAGUCGGAAGUGAAAUACCCGGGCUUAACCUGGGAACUGCUUUGGAAACUGUAUGGCUGGAGUGCUGGAGAGGUAAGCGGAAUUCCUAGUGUAGCGGUGAAAUGCGUAGAUAUUAGGAGGAACACCAGUGGCGAAGGCGGCUUACUGGACAGUAACUGACGUUGAGGCUCGAAAGCGUGGGGAGCAAACAGGAUUAGAUACCCCCGUAC
rnacentral:rRNA from 1 species